rnacentral:lncRNA from 13 species
CCUAGCACAGAUGAGACAGGUGUGGGUGAAUGCGGUUUGACAGACUUCAAAACAUUUGCACGGCGCCUUUGAUCCUUUCGGAUUAAAAUCUCGCGCCACAAAUUGAUGCUCUUCGGUUUGAGGCACGUGAGAGGCACAUCUUGCUGUCCCGCAUCCGGUUAUCUCGUGCUGCAAUAUUUUCAAAUGACAUAUCCCGAGUUUAUUUAAAACAAGAAUAGUUUAAUUUAGUAUAUCACACAUUGUGUUCAGGGGUGAUUUCAUCAAUUUUUUAAAUCAGCCCUAUCAUUUGUGUGGGUCAUCAAAGGGUCAAGGGACAAUAACAUGCUUUUAAAUUAGUAUAUGAAAAUGCACGUUUACUCCGUGACAACCAUGGACACCUACAUGACUCACUGCCAGACAUUUGGGUAAAACUUGAUAUACUACCGAAUGGUGAAUUGCUUUCAUUAUAGGCCAAGUCUUGCAUCUCUGGUCUGUCCAUGUGUAUUGUGUAGUCUAAUUACUCCUAUAAUUUCCAUCCUUAACUGCUUCUCUCCUUUACUCACUGCAGAAUACCUCUGUGGGUGGCACCACUGCUCCGCGCUGCUUCGCGCCCUAGGAGUGACCACGCACGGCGAAAAAAGGCCUACAAAUGUAUUCAGCGGAAACUGUAUCACCAUGGGGUGGGCUGCCAGAAGGGUGACGGUGGCCAUCCCACUUAUGUCUACCCAUCAGAGCUGA